UUCAUUCACGAGAACCCUGGAGUGAGUUUUGAACUUGAUUUAUUUGAGGCAAUAUGUACAAUAUGGGUCUUAAUACUACAUGGUGUAACAUCGAUAUGUAUAUUAAAUAAUGGUUUUAUUUCAGCUGGUAUUUUUCCGAAUCCCUUUCAAUACCAGCUUUUUAGUCUAUUUCUACUGUAAUCUAAAAAUAAUACUAUGGCCUCAUAAGGGCUAAAUUUUAUUAUCAUUUUCCUAUUUGCUUAUGGCAUUUCCAGAUCAGGAGAAGAUUGCAACACAUUUGUAGAGCUUAACGUAUCCUUGCUAAAGGAUAAAGAGAGAUGGAUAAUUUAUGCACGCGUGUGUAUUGCGUGGGCGUGUUUUUCUUAUCUCAUGCGCUGUCUCAAACUAACAUCUGCUUAGCAUAGAAAAUGUUAUGCAAAGGAGAGGGUUCGUUUUUUCUCUACUUUUCAUUUCAUUUUCUUAAGAAUUGUAUCUGCAUCUAGUCCGGACCAGAACUUGCCAGUUCGUUCUGAUUUUCAUUCGAAAUUAAUUACCUCGCGUCUACACUACCCAGGUGGAUGGUGCGACGCCAUGUUGUGGCAGUCAACAUCUAAGUGUAAAAUUAAUGAUAGUAUGUGUUUUGUUUACAAACAUCACAUUUGAUUCUCAUUAGGAUACAGAACUGUCAGUGGGAUACGGUCGCGCAAUGUUGGCUGCAAAACAAACCUAUUGUGUGAGAUAGGGAUGCCACCGGGCUGACACUACCAUGAAUCCCAAUGAUCAGGUCCAGUUUUCUGCCAGUUCGAUUUGUGACGAUCGUCGGAUGUCUGGGCAUCAGCGAGGAAGGUGCGAUUCCCCUCGAAGAGGAAGUCCAUGGAAGUGCAUUACUGAGUUGCGAUGGGAUGAGUUCUGCCAAAGCAAGAAUAAUGUUUCAGCUCGGAUGCCAGAAGCUGCAAAAGCAACAGGAUCAGUUCUUCGAACUAUAGCAGGAACAUCAAUGGACCAGCUCCAGUUCGUCAUCCACCAACGGGAAACAGUCUUCAUUGUACUGUGGAGUGUACCAUAAGUAUCCAGAAAACCCGGAAGUGGAUAAACCCAAAACGGUGGUAAAGCUGCUGAGCCGAGAAACCGAAAAGAACCGACCAUUGCGUGCCCGUGCAAAUCUAUGGCAGAAGAACCUUAAAGCGGACAAUUCAUAAAAUAUUUAUGUAUUAUAAAUUACGAAU